GAUUAACGCUGGCGGCGUGCAUAACACAUGCAAGUCGAACGAUGAAGAUUAUUAGACUUCUUCGGAAUGAAAAUAAUUGGAUUAGUGGCGGACGGGUGAGUAACGCGUGAGUAACCUGCCUUACACAAGGGGAUAGCCGUUGGAAACGACGAAUAAUACCCUAUGAAACUAUCACUUCGCAUGAAGCGAUAGUCAAAGUGUUAGCGGUGUAAGAUGGACUUGCGUCUGAUUAGCUAGUUGGUGAGAAAAAAGCCCACCAAGGCAACGAUCAGUAGCCGGCUUGAGAGAGUGUACGGCCACAUUGGGACUGAGACACGGCCCAGACUCCUACGGGAGGCAGCAGUGGGGAAUUUUGCACAAGGGGGGAAACCCUGAUGCAGCGACGCCGCGUGAUUUAGAAGGCCUUCGGGUUGUAAAAAUCUUUUGUAUAGGAAGAAAAUGACAGUACUAUACGAAUAAGGUCCGGCUAAUUACGUG
rnacentral:rRNA from 1 species